GCAUCAGUUGUGCAAUUCUCUUUCUGAGGGCACUGAAGUACAGUGAAGCAAAGUAGUGGGUCAGAGUUCUGAGCUGGCUUAAAAGGCACCACUGACAUGGCUAACAGAACAAACUCCUCUGAGUAUUUCUGGUCUUACGAAUAUUACUGGGAUUACAUAGAUCCAAUUCCAGUAGAUGGAAGCAAGUUGAAGGUUAAUAAAUACUCCAUCGUCAUUGCCUUUUGGGUCGGCCUUGCUGCAUUUGUGACGUUUCUUUUCCUUAUUUUACUGUGUAUGUCCUGCUCUGGAUCAACGCCAGCAAAGUGAGCACCCCCAGCUCUCCCAGCCUGGCUCCAGAGCAGAGGAGCUCUAUCCUUCAGAGCAUCUCCACGGCCUUGGCUGCCUCUGGGCUUGUUCCAACAGCUCCACAUAUUUCUUGUGCUGGACCCCAGGGCCUAGGGCAGCUUUGCAGAGGAAAGAUAUCUUGAAUACACCUGCAGAAUAGCAAAGGAAAUGCCAAACCUGCCUACCUGUGCUGGGCCGGCUGCUGAGACUCUGGGAACUUGUUUCUGCUUUUUAAUUACCCGGACCUCGGCUCGGUUCGGGGAAGCUCGGAGCCGCCCUCUGCGCUCCCCGGAGCUCGGCUCAGCUCCCUGAGGGCGGCGCGGGCCGGGCCGAGGCGCCGCGCGGGAAAGCGGGGCCGCCUCACGUUCAAGGCGCCCAGCUCGGGGUUUUCCUGCUGCCGCGUCCCACGGGCGGCCCGGCCACCGCACGGACAGGAAAACUGAUCCACGGACACCAGAGGUUUAUGUCCAAAAAGGAAACUGGGGAGUACUAUAACUUUAUUCGAAUAAAGGGAGAGGCCAUGGGCAUUUCCCAUGGGUCUCUCAGGUUGUUGGGAGGACGCAGUCUGCUUUUUAUCCUCAUUUCCCGACCGCAUUUACCUCUCUCUUCCCCAUUGACUGAGGUACUUGAGAGGUACAAACUUCCCGAAUCGCCUAAUACCGACCCCCUUUCAAUGUGCAUUCCCUCCAGCCCCUUGUUUUUCUUUGUGUCUCUGUUCUUUUUCUCUAAGUCCAGGAAUUUAGCACGGCCUUGGGUGAGCAACGGAAUUCCUCUGGAAUUUGUGGUUCCAUUCAUUACUUCUUUCAAGUGUCGGUAUCCGAGUUUAUCUACCAGCAGGCCCACAGUUUCUUUGUCAAGACAUCUCCUUCUCAUUCCUUUCAGCACGGCUGCGAACGGGAGAGCGGGGUCGGGCAGGAGUUCAUUAGGCAGUGACAGCACUCGCGCUAAUUAAUGGGCACGAGAGCACCCAGAGCAGCUCCCGGGACGGAGCGCUUGCCACCGCAGUGUUUUGGAAUCACUGUUCGAUCCCAGCGGUUUGAAGUUUGGGAAUGCUGUGGGACACGUCCAAGGUGUCAGUAAUGUUUUCUUUAAAUAAAGCCCCCAAGGAGCGGUGGAAGAAAACAAUAAAUAAUAUCGCCUACCU